UCCAUGAAGUUGGAUUCGCUAGUAAUCGCGCAUCAGCCAUGGCGCGGUGAGUACGUUCCCGGGCCUUGUACACACCGCCCGUCAAGCCAUGGGAGCUGGGGGUGCCUGAAGUUCGUGACCGCAAGGAUCGACCUAGGGCAAAACCGGUGACUGGGGCUAAGUCGUAACAAGGUAUC
rnacentral:rRNA from 1 species